ACUCAUUCACUCUCUCUGUAAAUAACUAUUCAAUAAAAUCUGAUAGAACCAUGCAAGGCACCAAAGCCUCUCUGUGAUUUCCUCCAUGCAACUGCCAGGCUGGAAAAUCAAUCAAUUUUCUCUACCUGGAAAAGGGGAAUAACCCCAAACAAUGGCACGUGAUUACAGCUGAGCAAGAAGCAGUAUUUGUAUCCCACAAAUGCUAAUUAAAGGAGAACCAAAAGAAAUUGUAGUGGGGUGAAAUUACUGAUUUCAGUUGUUGAAGACUUCUGUGAGGAAGCAGUAACAACUACCCUUGCCACAAUAACAGCAGCUCUAGCAAUCCACAUGGCCGUUAAAACACAGACACAAACGUCACCCGAACAUCCCAUGUCAGCAGAGAAUGACAAAGUCUCAUCUCAGGCAGGGGUGGCACAAAGGACUUCUGACAUCUGACUACCUGACUACUGAAAGGGAAGAAGUUCUGAAAAGUAUUCUCAUUUAUCUGCUUUGCCCCUUUUCUUUGUAGAUUGCAGGAUCCUGAAUCACAAGGAAAAGAAGGCAGAUUUCUCAAUUGCCUAUAAGAAAAUGACACCUGAGGCCAGCCAGAUGUAUGCAGGGACAUAUCCUAUAUCUGAAGGGAAAGAUUUGGUUCCAAGGGCUGAUAAAUUACAAGUUUGGCCUAAUAAAAUUAAAGCAUUGGUUUGUACCUAUAUUAUUCUUCUUAAAUUUCAAGAAAGGAAGGAAGGAAAA